GGCGGCAUGGCUCAGGAGGUAGAAUGGAUGGUCUAAGAAUCAAAGGUUUCUGGGUCGAUCCCUGGCUCCGCCG